GCAGUAGCCACGGGAAUACGGAGGGUGCAAGCGUUAAUCGGAAUUACUGGGCGUAAAGCGCACGCAGGCGGUCUGACAAGUCAGAUGUGAAAUCCCCGGGCUUAACCUGGGAACUGCAUUUGAAACUGUCAGGCUGGAGUCUUGUAGAGGGGGGUGGAAUUCCAGGUGUAGCGGUGAAAUGCGUAGAGAUCUGGAGGAAUACCGGUGGCGAAGGCGGCCCCCUGGACAAAGACUGACGCUCAGGUGCGAAAGCGUGGGGAGCAAACAGGAUUAGAUACCCCGGUAGUCCCUGUCUCUUAUAA
rnacentral:rRNA from 1 species